rnacentral:lncRNA from 1 species
AUGAGAACUCAGUUGCCAUUUCUGUCCUCGCAUACCGUCCUGGGCAUCACAAGGGACCUUAAUUCGUCCGUGCCUUCCCUGUCUGGAGUGGCUGCACUUAAGCCUUGUACUUCCAACUCAUUGCCAAGCCACGUCUACUCGAUGACACACUGGGUCCUCGAGCACUAUUCAUGGACCAAGACACAUCACGUAAAGGUACAAGAUCCCAAUGAUAAAUGUAACAAAACUGUAUUGUUUGCUUUAAAUAUACCAAUAGACUUAAUGGGGAAAGAACAUUCAUGGUUUUAAAAGACAAAAGCAAAUCCCAACAAUUUUUUAUGCAUGUUUAUCUAGCUCCUUAUGACAAGCAAACUCCCAGCCGCAACUGUCCUCUUAGCCUCAGUGGAAGAGUCAUCUUCUCUUCCAUCUGUCUGGACAGCCAUCAGAGCCACCUUGGGUCCUGCUCACUCCCAGGGAUCAGCUGGGCAGGAGGAGCUGUACCCCAAGCCUACGCAGUGCUGCAGCCCCAACCUGCAGCCCAGUGAAGCUGCCUUGGGAACCAUGCGACAGCCCCACAGCCUCCAUGGCCAGAAGACCCCUCUGUCCUCACUCACUGGAGAUUCCCUG